UGUUGUUUGUUGAGUCAGAGAGAACAACACUGCUGAAGCUACAGCUUCUGGCAGGUGGAAGGUCACGUUCUUGUGUCCACCCUCUUCCACCACAGACAGACAUGAACCUUCAUAGAAGAUCGGUGUCUCAGUCUACUGGCUGAGAAUAGUGAGUCCUUAGCUGCGAAGCAUUAUAUUCUAGCAGCGACCUCUGCCCAGCGAAAGCUGUUUCCUGUUGUCUUUCUGCCACCCUGAUGGCUCUUCUAUACGCUGCCAAGGCUUUGUGUUCAAUGAAGAUAUCUGAGUCUUGAUAUUUUUCUCUUCAAAAAAUAACUGUAGCUUGAUGGACUUUCAACAAGAUACCUUCCCACCAAAGAAAUUGUUUUCUCAUCUUCCAACUGUUUUGCGUAUAUGAAGUCCCUUCUGAGCUCAUCUAGGUUCACUUCACAGAAAGGGCGUUGGUGUGAUAUAAAUGCUAUCAAAUGUUUCCUAGACAAGUGUUGGCAUCUUAUUUCUCCACUCUGUGUUAAUUUUUUAACUUCUCUUUUUUCUCGCUUUAUGAUGUAAAAUGUGUUUGUGGCUUUUCCUUAGUCCCCAGAAAUCCCAGAAUUUACUUUCCUUUUCUCCUGAUUGAUGCAGCUUUUAGACUGGUAUAGGACUUCUGGCUGAAGUUGACCCACUCCAGGUUUAUUCCAGCAUACGCAACAUCAAAGUGAGACCAUGCUGCUCACUUGCUGUGUGAUCAUUAUACAUCUAUUCCUGAUUGUCUCUUCCUGACUUUCUCUUCCUCCCCUUUGUUUUUAUUAUUUAUAAGCAACAGUAGAUUGAAGUUCUUUGAAGCAGAAAGCAUUUCCUCAUAUGUAUUUGUACAGUCUCCAACUUAACG